rnacentral:rRNA from 1 species
GUAGGUGGCAAGCGUUGUCCGGAAUUAUUGGGCGUAAAGCGCGCGCAGGCGGUUCUUUAAGUCUGAUGUGAAAGCCCACGGCUCAACCGUGGAGGGUCAUUGGAAACUGGAGAACUUGAGUACAGAAGAGGAAAGCGGAAUUCCACGUGUAGCGGUGAAAUGCGUAGAGAUGUGGAGGAACACCCGUGGCGAAGGCGGCUUUCUGGUCUGUAACUGACGCUGAGGCGCGAAAGCGUGGGGAGCAAACAGGGAUUAGAUACCCUGGUAGUCCACGCCGUAAACGAUGAGUGCUAAGUGUUAGGGGGUUUCCCGCCCCUUAGUGCUGCAGCUAACGCAUUAAGCACUCCGCCUGGGGAGUACGGCCGCAAGGCUG